rnacentral:rRNA from 1 species
AUUGAACGCUGGCGGCAGGCCUAACACAUGCAAGUCGAACGAGUGGCGGACGGGUGAGUAAUGUCUGGGAAACUGCCUGAUGGAGGGGGAUGACUACUGGAAACGGUAGCUAAUACCGCAUACCAUCGGAUGUGCCCAUAUGGGAUUAGCUAGUAGGUGGGGUAAAGGCUCACCUAGGCGACGAUCCCUAGCUGGUAUGAGAGGAUGACCACCCACAAUGGAACUGAGACACGGUCCAGACUCCUACGCGAGGUAGUAGAGGGGAAUAGUGCACAAUUGGCGCAAGCCUGAUGCAGCCAUGCCGCGUGUAUGAAGAAGGCCUUCGGGUUGUAAAGUACUUUCAGAGGGGAGGCUUUACCCGAAGAAGAAGCACCGGCUAACUCCGUGCCAGCAGCCGCGGUAAUAC